CGAAAAAUGGCUGCCAGGGCCCCACCCUGAGGACUCUGAGUCCAGGGGGUGAGGACCCAGGAGAGUGCAUUUGCAGAAGCUCCCUCCCCCUCCAGUGACUGGUGCACGGAGUUAGGCGCAGCCCUGGUACACGGGACUCAAACAGGAUUUGUGUACCAGAAAGAACCCAAAACUCCAGAGAUUGAUCCUGGAACCAUAAUUUCCUGAAAUGUUCAAGGAAGAAUAAAGAAAACCCUCAUCAUGGCCACACUGAGUCAGAGAUCUAUGAGAAAAUGAGGCCUAAAAAGUAAAAGGCUAAAUCCUUAAUUGCCCCCCAGGAGAAGUUGGAAAACCUCAGGAUGGUCUAGAGCCCCACAGAGUCAUGGAGAUGCUCAAGGGAACAUCUCAGGGCUCUUUCCAUCUGGGUUCUUGGUUGAAAUGGCUUGUCAUAGACCCUGUACCCUGCUGGAACCUGUGUGUUGUAUGUCGUCUAGGAUGGCCCGGGCUGCAAAGGAAUCCAGGACCAGCAGCUUCCAAAGCUCUCCACGAUGUUGUCUUCUUUGCUGGGUACCUGAGGGGAUGGCCAGCUGCUGCUGCUGUUUGCCUUCCCAGAUGUCUGGCUGGCU